GUACACUCCUACGGGAGGCAGCAGUGGGGAAUAUUGCACAAUGGGCGCAAGCCUGAUGCAGCCAUGCCGCGUGUAUGAAGAAGGCCUUCGGGUUGUAAAGUACUUUCAGCGGGGAGGAAGGCGAUAAGGUUAAUAACCUUGUCGAUUGACGUUACCCGCAGAAGAAGCACCGGCUAACUCCGUGCCAGCAGCCGCGGUAAUACGGAGGGUGCAAGCGUUAAUCGGAAUUACUGGGCGUAAAGCGCACGCAGGCGGUCUGUCAAGUCGGAUGUGAAAUCCCCGGGCUCAACCUGGGAACUGCAUUCGAAACUGGCAGGCUAGAGUCGUGUAGAGGGGGGUAGAAUUCCAGGUGUAGCGGUGAAAUGCGUAGAGAUCUGGAGGAAUACCGGUGGCGAAGGCGGCCCCCUGGACAAAGACUGACGCUCAGGUGCGAAAGCGUGGGGAGCAAACAGGAUUAGAAACCCGUGUAGUCCCAUGA
rnacentral:rRNA from 1 species